rnacentral:rRNA from 1 species
AUUGAACGCUGGCGGCGUGCCUAACACAUGCAAGUCGAGCGGUAACAGGUGUAGCAAUACAUGCUGACGAGCGGCGAACGGGUGAGUAAUGCUUUGGAAUCUUCCCAGUAGUGGGGAAUAACCAGUCGAAAGAUUGGCUAAUACCGCAUACGUCUGUAAAGGGAAAGCGGGGGCUCGUAAGACCUCGCGCUAUUGGAUGAGCCAAAGUACGGAUUAGCUAGUUGGGGGGUAAUGGCCUACCAAGGCGACAAUCCGUAGCUGGUCUGAGAGGACGACCAGCCACACCGGAACUGAGACACGGUCCGGACUCCUACGGGAGGCAGCAGUGGGGAAUAUUGGACAAUGGGGGAAACCCUGAUCCAGCGACGCGCGUGUGUGAAGAAGCC